UACUGCCCUCGGGUGGUGGAUAACCUUCCGAAAGGAGGGCUAAUACAGCAUGAGACCACGAUUCCGAAAGGGAUUGAGGUCAAAGCCGGCCACUUUAAAAAAGCUGGCGCCUGAGGAUGAGCCUGCGGCCCAUCAGCUAGUUGGUAGGGUAAUGGCCUACCAAGGCGAAGACGGGUAGCUGGUCUGAGAGGAUGACCAGCCACACUGGAACUGAGACACGGUCCAG
rnacentral:rRNA from 1 species